GAUGAACGCUGGCGGCGUGCCUAAUACAUGCAAGUCGAGCGAACAGACGAGGAGCUUGCUCCUCUGACGUUAGCGGCGGACGUGUGAGUAACACGUGGAUAACCUACCUAUAAGACUGGGAUAACUUCGGGAAACCGGAGCUAAUACCGGAUAAUAUAUUGAACCUCAUGGUUCAAUAGUGAAAGACGGUUUUGCUGUCACUUAUAGAUGGAUCGGCGCCGCAUUAGCUAGUUGGUAAGGUAACGGCUUACCAAGGCGACGAUGCGUAGCCGACCUGAGAGGGUGAUCGGCCACGCUGUAAGUGAGACACGUCCCAGACUCCGAGGGUGGGACGCGGUAGGGACUCUUCCGCAAGGGAGGAGAGCCUGACGGAGCAACGCGGCGUGAGUGAUGAAGGUCUUCGGAUGGUAAAGCGCUGUUAUUAGGGAAGAACAAAUGUGUAAGUAACUAUGCACGUCUUGACGGUACCUAGUCAGAAAGCCACGGCUAACUACGUG
rnacentral:rRNA from 1 species